rnacentral:lncRNA from 1 species
GCUGCCACCGUUGACAGGACAGUGCAGCAGCGCAGUGCCAACAAGCGCGUCUCGCCAGCCAUCGAGCGCAAGAUCCUGGCCAUCAUCGACUACGACCGGCUGGCGUGCCUGCAAUGCGAGCAGCUGUUCUCGA